AAUGAACGCUGGCGGCAGGCCUAACACAUGCAAGUCGAGCGGACGAAGGGAGCGUGCGCCCGGAUUCAGCGGGGGACGGGCGAGUAAGGCACAGGAAGCUGACUUGCCGAUGGGGAUAAGGUACGGAAAGGGACGCGAAUACAGCACACGUCCUGAUGUUGAACGGGGGGGAUCAUUGGACAUCACGCUAUCAGAUGACACUACGUCGGAUUAGCUAGUUGGUGGGGUAAAGGCCUACCAAGGCGACGAUCCGUAGCAGGUCUGAGAGGGUGAUCAGUCACACUGGAACUGAGACACGGUCCAGACUCCUACGGGAGGCAGCAGUGGGGAAUCUUGGGCAAUGGGCGAAAGCCUGACCCAGCCAUGCCGCGUGAGUGAAGAAGGUCUUCGGAUUGUAAAGCUCUGUUAGUUGGGAAGAACGACUGUAAGUUAAACCCUUCCUGUUUUGACGUUACCUACACAGUAAGCCCCGGCUAACUUCGUG
rnacentral:rRNA from 1 species